UUCCAACUAUUAAUCUUCCAGAAAAGAUUAUAUUGUUGAUAAUUAUAGUGGAAAAGGACUUAGAACAUGAGUGUGAUGCCACUAUUUUAAGAGUAAUAGUUGCUCUUUCUUGUCAAUUAGUUGUCUGUCUAAGAAUCAACUUAGGAAGAGAUGCCUUUAAGGAUAAUGGAAAAAGGGUUCUCUAGUUUCAAGGGCAUAUCGAUUAUGUCCCCCUCAAAUUUAAAAAAAUGACCAUUGGAUUGUUAUCUUCCUUAUCUUUGCUGUUCAUGAAUCUCGAUUCACAUACUUCCCAUCAAUAAUACACACUUAAGUAGGCCAUUAUGCUUCCCUAAUUAUGUCUAUUUUUGUCUUACAAAGAUGUAAUUAUGAUUUACACCUUGUUUUGAAUUAUGAUUUAUUAUUCAAACUUCACACUUGAUGAUGAACCUCGAACCCUGCAUGUGGCUUCAAAUUCAAAGAGACAGGUCUUAAUGACGCAAGACUUCUUUCUGCAGAACUCAUAAACUCUAAAGUUGGCAGCAACUCGAGCAAAUUCCCCAACAGAUGAAUUCUGAGGGGACCAACAUGGCCACCAUUUUUCAAGUGUUUCAGAUCAAUAGUUUAUCCAUCUCCUUGAAGGAAACCCAACUCAUUAGCAAUAUUAUGUGACAAAAACACACAUCAAAUGGUUUUAGAGCUGAUUUGGAUUAGAUUUGUUGUUUAAGCAUUGUAUGGCUGCAGUUAUUAGCGAACAUAUAUUAAUAUC